rnacentral:rRNA from 1 species
ACGAAGGGGGCUAGCGUUGUUCGGAUUUACUGGGCGUAAAGCGCACGUAGGCGGAUUGGUAAGUUAGAGGUGAAAUCCCGAAGCUCAACUUCGGAACUGCCUUUAAUACUGCCAGUCUAGAGUCCGGAAGAGGUGAGUGGAACUCCUAGUGUAGAGGUGGAAUUCGUAGAUAUUAGGAAGAACACCAGUGGCGAAGGCGGCUCACUGGUCCGGUACUGACGCUGAGGUGCGAAAGCGUGGGGAGCAAACAG